GGAAUUCGAAAAGAUCGCAGAGGUGGCCGAAUAGUGAAGCACAAACGUCAAAGAGAAGAACAUGAUAGCAGAAACAUAGGCACAGUAGCAGAGGCAAGGAGCCCAAAUCUUUGGCCAAGCCCACUAAUGAUCAAACAUAGUAAAAAAAACAGUCCAGCCCUCUCCCUCUCUGCAGAUCAGAUGGUUUCUGCUUUGCUAGAGGCAGAACCUCCUAUUGUCUAUUCAGAAUAUGACCCUAACAGACCCUUCAACGAAGCUUCAAUGAUGACGUUGUUGACCAACCUUGCUGAUCGAGAACUGGUUCAUAUGAUCAACUGGGCCAAAAGGGUUCCAGGCUUUGUGGACUUAACACUCCAUGAUCAAGUUCAUCUACUAGAAUGUGCCUGGUUAGAGAUAUUGAUGAUUGGCCUAGUGUGGAGAUCUGUGGAGCAUCCAGGAAAGCUGCUGUUUGCCCCCAACUUAUUGCUGGACAGGAAUCAAGGAAAAUGCGUUGAAGGCAUGGUAGAAAUAUUUGACAUGCUGCUGGCCACUUCUUCUCGUUUUCGUAGCACAAAUGUCCAGGGGGAAGAAUUUGUAUGCCUUAAAUCUAUCAUCCUACUCAAUUCUGGGAUCUACACAUUUCUUUCUAGCACCUUGAAAUCCCUGGAGGAAAAAGAGCAUAUCCAUCGUGUUCUGGAUAAAAUUACCGAUACUUUGAUGCAUUUAAUGGCCAAAUCCGGCCUUUCCCAGCAGCAGCAACAUAGGCGCUUGGCUCAGCUUCUCCUCAUCCUUUCCCACAUCAGGCACAUGAGCAAUAAAGGGAUGGAGCACCUCUAUAACAUGAAGUGCAAGAAUGUGGUCCCACUUUACGAUUUAUUGCUGGAAAUGCUGGAUGCUCACCGUCUGCAUGCUCCUGCAGCUAGGAACACACCACCCAAUGAAGAGGAGAUUUCAAACCAGCUGGCCAUGGCACCUGCUUCAAUGCAUUCCUUACCACCUUGCUAUGUGAACAAACAGGAAGAAGAACCUGUGCAAGAAGCAGUCUGAAUUCAGAUUACAAACAGCCUACAGGAUUCUGAGUGUCCCAUCAAAAAACGCCAGGCUUAGAUGAACUGGUACCAUGUCUAAGCACUCCAAUACUCAACAAUCACCACUGGUUCCCAAAACAACGAUGGUCAACUUCAUUAAUGGCAGAACAUUAUAAUUUUGGACAUAAUUGUUUCAUUUUUUUAAAAAAAAAAGUGUGUUUGUGUUAGCAAAACACAAGCUUGAGGAUUCCUGCACUCUGUUUGCUGGUAUCAUAUAGAGAAGUUGGAUGAUCUUUUAUUUUUAAAUCAAUUGGGCAAAAAUCCCAGCUGAGUUGAGUAGGUGAUGUUUACAUGUAACAUUUAUUGGCUGUUUGGUGGAUACAAGAAAAGUGCACCACCCAGAUACAGUAUAGAAAGCAAUGGUGGUUAAGGACUAAGAUUCUGUUAUACUCCCAUUUAAAAAAGAAUUAAGAGAAAAGAGAAGAGAAAAUAUUAAUUUAAGAUUUCCCCGUUGGGAUUCAUUCCUUUCAGUGACACCAAUACAAUAUUCAAAUAGAUUAAUCUACCCUCUCAAACUUUGCAGGAUGCUCCAGUUUAUUUCAGCAAGAAAAGCCCUUCAGUUAACUUGAGAAGAUAACUGUGAGAUGCUAAAGGGGGAUGGCUCAGCCCUACAGAGUUUACCAUAAUAAGGGUAAGCCCAUGGAUGGAAAAUUAAUAUUAUCAUUUUUAAAAACUGGCAUAAUUCAAUUCAUUGGCCCUGCUAAAUUCACAAUGAGGGUCCAAAGGUAACAGAUUUCUCCCCCUAUCUGUCUCAGGCUGAAUUUCUGUGCUGACCAUUACAAUAUCUAAUAGACCAUAGCCCAAUUAAAAUAUGACAUUGUAUCAAUUAAUUGUGAAUCACCUAAGGACCUCUGGCUGAAAAUAUAAUUACACCAUCUACUUCAUACAUUAACUGACAGGUCACAUAUGAACUGUAAAAACCCAACUGAUCAUGGGAAAAUUAUGCCCCUGCUGCCAACCGCCAAGAAUGGAAUGGUCUGGCCAUUCUACUCGCCUGCUUUCCACUGGAGGUAACUUUGUGGGAGAGCUGCACCUGCACAUAUUUAGGUGGUAUCUGAAAUUAACUUUCAGAAAAUUCCACGUCUAUUCAAUCCAAUCAGCGCUCCACAGUAGGAAAGUCAUCUGCCUCCUUGAGCAAGGUCCUGGAUUUGCAUGUGAUGCUCCCUAAUAUCUGCCAAAGCAAUAAAGUCCCAAAGUUGCCUCUUGGGAAAAAAAACACCUUUGGGACAAUCAUGAUCUGGGUGACUGAGAAUUUCUAUACACAAAACAACAGAACUUUAUGUUGAGUCACAACUAGUGGUAAGAGAACAAUGAAGAAAGGACAAGAAAGUUUUGCACUGCAGCUGAGGUCACAUCCUGUUCUUUGAGUCUGGCCUAUAUUGACCCUUUCCAAAGCGAAGUGCACACGUCUAGGCCAGUGCAGGUCAAACUCUACAAAUGAUUGACAGUAACCACUUUUGUUAAAAUGUAUUCCCUUCCCAAAUAUAUGCCCAAACGUUGUGAAUCUCCACCUGUUUUUACAGUGCUCUUGCCAACACUUCUAGCUUGAGCUUCAUUGCUAAUGGCCUUGCUUUUUAUUAAUAGCAUAAAGUACCUAUUUUCAAAAUAUAAAAAGAACAAAAAUCAAUGGUCCUGCUUUGACAUUUGAUAUGAAGUGCCUUGCCAAAAAUGGGUACAGCUGUACCCUUUGAAAUAAGACAAAAUCCCCACACUGUAUAUAUGCUAUAUAUACAAUAUAUUACAUGAUUCAUAUUAUAUUGUAAUAUAUUGCAUGAUAUAUUAACAACACAAAGAAUUCUUGUAGGGCCAUAAUCAAAGAAAGCAAAUUUUAAUCAUUUAUACCCAGCUGUUAACUGAAAAUCUAGGUAUUUUUUAACUGGGAGUUUAGCCCCAUAGUAUGCAAUUGGACAUACUUCUGAAUAGACAAGCAUAGGAUCAGGCUACAGUAAUAUAAUUCAGUAUUUCUAUUUUUAUAAGGGAAAAAACUUUUGCUCUUUUUCUACUGGUUCCUUAAGGGUUCCUUAAGAUUUCUGUGUAUUUGUUGCUUUGGUUGCCCCCACCCCCAGCCCCAAUUCACUUCUGCUGGUUUGGAGCUUCCAUCUAAGACCUAGAAAGAAUGAUUGGAAGCUUUCCUCCCCAUCUGAGUGAAUGGUGAACAUUUCAAGUACAGGACCUCAAUAGGUCCUUUGUACGCCAAUUGGUUAGACUUCUGAGUAGAUAUAUGUAACCAUAACUCAGUUUCUGCCUAUCCUCAUACAAUGCAAAAGAUUAAAAUUGGUCUCAGUCUAUUUAAGUAAUGUACACUACAUCUAUUUUCCUAACAGAAACCAUGAUUUUGCCUUGACAGAUUAACGGGCAAAAUGUCGGAGGGAUAGGACUAGGCCCUUAGCACGGGAGUGUGAGAUGUUUUUAGCUUUAAUGCCAGCAUACCUGGGACAGGUCCGGCUUGGUAAUUGAAAUCGCUUUUUGUUAAAUGUCUGAAACUUAAGAAAAAUAUCUAGUCAUUAUUGUUAGUUUGCUGGAAGCAUUGUAUUAUCCUUAUUGCUAUUGUUUGUUGAAAGCACCUUACUGAAUGCAGUGUGUGUUUCUGUGCAUAUAAUACACACAUGCAAAGCUCACCUAUCAGACAACUGAAUGUAGCUCUUCUGUAUAACCAGUCGACAGGUUAAAAUACAACAAAACCACAAGGGGAAAAAAA